rnacentral:rRNA from 1 species
GACGAACGCUGGCGGCGUGCUUAACACAUGCAAGUCGAACGGAAAGGCCCCUUUGGGGGUACUCGAGUGGCGAACGGGUGAGUAACACGUGAGUAACCUGCCCUUGACUUCUGGAUAACUUCAGGAAACUGGGGCUAAUACCGGAUAGGAAUCCUUGCUGCAUGGUGGGGGUUGGAAAGCUUCGGCGGUGUUGGAUGGACUCGCGGCUUAUCAGCUUGUUGGUGGGGUAGUGGCUUACCAAGGCUUUGACGGGUAGCCGGCCUGAGGGGGCGACCGGCCACAUUGGGACUGAGAUACGGCCCAGACUCCUACGGGAGGCAGCAGUGGGGAAUAUUGCACAAUGGGCGGAAGCCUGAUGCAGCAACGCCGCGUGCGGGAUGACGGCCUUCGGGUUGUAAACCGCUUUCAGCAGGGGCGAAGCUUGUGGUGACGGUACCUGCAGAAGAAGCACCGGCUAACUACGUG